AAACUAAAAAUCUCGUAUGAGGACUGCAUUCUCUUGGAAUAGCUCUUGAAAUUUGGAAAGUUUUUUAAAGAAUCUUUUGAAUUCCAAGGAUAAGGCCUCCAUCAACCACUCCUUAAGUCUUCUAGGAGUUAUGAAGAAUGAAUCUCUUUCAUCCUCUGAGAGGCUUUAUCAUGUUUGCAUAUGAUGUUUCAUGUCUGCAAAUUGAGUGAAUCCUCACUUUGAUUUUCCUUCCACAUUCUGCAGUUCUCAAAAUGCCUCACUGGGACUGAAUGCAGGUUGCUACAACACUCAGUGUGUGUGCACGUACUGUUGCUAAGAGCUCUGCUAUGUGUCACUUGCCAGCAUUCUACAAGGAAGAAAUUAAGGUGUUCAUCAUAAAAUACAUGUUUGAGCUGGGACAUAACAUCAGAACAACAAAAAGAAGGCUUCUUUACAUCCAGCCCCCAGCUCAGCUGGUAGCAGAGAUGUGUUUCACUUGAUCACUGAAGCCAGCAGUGACUGAGGUCCAUUUCUGAACAGCUGUGUCCUGUAUAAAAACAUUUCUACUUUUCAAAAGGUUUCAAUAUUAGACACAAAAAAAAAGGGGAUGUUGAGCAAGACAAGACUCAUCACCUACGUGAAGUAAUGGAUAAUUCCAAACGUCUUCUGAGAGGGAUCUGAGCAUUUUAAAAUCAACUUCCAAACUGUUUUGCUGAGUCAUCCCUAGAGUAACAGGGAACUUUUUCCUCUGAUUUCAGAAACUAUGCAUAAUUUUGCCAUAAAAUUAUUAUAGAUAAUGUGUGGAAUUCAAUUUAACUUUGCUUUUGAAAACCAGCUGUUUUUUUUACUUUGGGGUUUUAAACAAAGCAGCUUUGUAAACUAAUUGUGUCUUAUGUUGAAGAACCAGUCAUUGGCUGAGUUGUUAGUGAUACAUAUUUCUUUAAAAUUUUCCCUUGAAAAACCUGUCAGCUCUUCUAAAUAUUUUUUUCCUAUACAAGGCUCUAUUA